rnacentral:lncRNA from 1 species
AGGGGUUGACUUUUACCAAGGGUUGACCAGUGGUUUCCAGGGGCAGUUUGGUAAUUGUUGGAUAUUGUUUUGAGUAUUAGUGCCUUGGUGGUUGUCCAGUGGUGGAGAUCGUAUCAGUGAUCGGAGCAGCUUGGGUUAUCUGUUCAGUCAGCAGUUUCGUGGUGAGUUAUCCUCACUAUAUCAACAGGGUGUAAGGCACCAAGGCCGGCCCUUAUCGGAUUGAGAUCCGGGUAUUUGUUGUUAUGUUAUUGCUUUGAUAUGUUUGCAUCCUGGUAGCUAGGAUGGUAUAUGUUAGAGACCUGGUUGAGAUAGGUAUCCUGAGAUGUAGGGUGAUGCUAUGCUAGUCACCGGUUAGGUCGGUAUCCUGGUUAGGAUGAUGAUAUGUUAUGUGAUCUGUUUGAUCGGUUUGUUGACUGUGAAUUGCUAUAUGAUUGUAUGUUUAUGUGCACAUGGUUGUUUGGACUAGAGUUGGGUUGACGUGGGUCCUGCUUUGUGCUGUAGGCCAAGAUACCCAGGGCGGACCGGUUGUCCCGAAGGCCCAGCGAUCGGUCCGGAUAGGUUGUAGGCCCCAAGAGGGCGGACCAGAUGUACCGAGGCUCGGAGAGUGGACCAGGCCGACUGAAGGCCCGGUGCGGGCGGACCAAUCACACUGCAGACUCGAUGUAUGUGGUUAGAUUCGGAGAGAGGACCAAGUCGAUUGAAGGCCUGGUGCGGGCGGACGAAUCACACUGUAGACUCAAGGUAUAUAGCUAGAUUCGGAAGGUGGACCAGGUGGACUGUUGGCCGGUGCGGCGGACCAGUCACACAGUAGGCCUGAGGUGCAUGGCUGUUCUGUGAUCGGAUAUGUUAUGGCAUGUUAUGCGUGUAUGGUAUAUGUGGUUGGUAUUUUGGGGAUAUCUCACUAAGAUUUCAGGCUUACAGAUGUGGUUUAAUGUUUUUCAGGUUCUUAAGGAGACCGUGGCAAGGCGAAGGCAUGAUCGUACCGCUCCUCGUGUUUGUAUUGUGAUGAGAUUCUGGGAACACUUAAAAUAAAUUGUUUUGAAAACGUUUUUGUUAUAACUUUAAUGGAAUCGGGUUGUUUUCGAAAAUUUUAAAUUGGUUGAAAUUUUUGGUCGUUACAAGUUGGUAUUAGAGCCUUGGUUUGAGUGAAUUGGAGAAACACUCGUGUGACUCCAGUCUCAAAUCGAGGAGAGUUUUCAAAAGAGAAUUUAAAAUGGUUUUCAAAAUGAGUAAUGGAGGACGCGGAGGUACGAUCAGCCGGAGCUAGUAAGUAACCCCAAAAUACCAUGCAUGUUAUUUGUUUUUGAGCUUUAAUAGAACAGCAUGCUAGUGUUAGGCUAGGGAUCUUCAGGAUUUCAUGAUAAUGUUGCCUGAUUGUGAUGCCUGUAGCCUAGGGUUCCUUGUGAGAGAUUUCCAGUGUUCCUCUAGUGGUGAGGGUUGAGCGCUUGUUUGUAUGUUUUCACUAGGGUGUUGUGGUAGUACUUCAUACAAAUAUGGGUAGGUGUGGAAGGUAGUAUGGGCCCGUACUACUGAAAGCACAGGACCCAUACGCGUAUCAGGGAAACCAUGACCUCUAGGGUUGGGUUGAGAGAGUUGGUUCCCGGGAUAGUGGGAAGUGUCUGAGAUUUUGUGUGGUGUUUUUCAGUAUGGAGAUUCCGAGGCAUGCUGGGAGUGGAUCCGGAUCAGGAUCGGGAGCAGGAGAGGGAGUUCCGGGCGGGUCAGUACCGCCCGAGGUUAUUGGUCAGAUGAGCACGUGCGAGUUGGAUGCGAGGAUUCGUGAGAUCCUGCGUGAUGAGAUUGCUGCGUUGUUCCGGGCUGAGUUGCCGGAACUGUUUGGGUCGAUCAAGACCGCCAUGGUUGAGUAUUUUGAUGAGCGCUAUGCAGCUCUCACAGAGACGGCUGCCGCGGCGGCUACAGCGGCUGUAGCAGCGGCAGGGGGAGGAGCUGGUCGGGGUUUUCAGUAUCGGGACUUCGAUAAUACGAAGCCUCCCACCUUUGAUGGAGUUCAGGACCCGAUUGUUGCUAUGAGAUGGUUAUCGGACGUGGAGGGGUGUUUCUUCACGUGUUCAUGCCCUGCUGAUCAGAGGGUGAGGUGUGCUCUGAACCUGUUGAGGCUCGGGGCGAAGGAUUGGUGGAGAUUGACCACGGGGUCAUAUUCGGAUGCGCAGAGGGCUGCGGUUUCAUGGGAUCAGUUCAGAGAGAUGUUCAGCACUCGUUAUGUUCCGCAAGUUGAGAGGGAGAGAUUGGCUCAGGAGUUCCUUGAGCUGAAGCAGGAUUCGAAGUCAGUGACUGAGAUCACUAGGAUGUUCACUGAGAGGGCGAUGUUCUGCCCUGAGUUCGCUUCGGAGCAGGCUCAGAUGUCUCGAUAUCUGAGCAUGCUCAAGAGGGAUAUCAGACAGUUUGUGUCUACGCAGAGGUGCGAGACCUUGUUGGAGUUGCAGGAGGCCACCAGGCGGCGUGAGUUAGAGAUUGAGUUGCAGUUGCGUGAGCUGAGGCAGACUCCGGUGCAGUUGCAGCCGGCGCCAAAACGGUCCAAGACUGUUGAUUCUAGAGUGGGGGAUCUGAGUAGCCACACUUGUGGGAAGUGUGGAAGGAGUCACGCCGGAGUUUGUAGGUCCAGUGGUGCAUGUCGCAAGUGCGGAAAGGAGGGGCACUAUGCGAGGGAUUGUCGACAGUCAGCACCGGUUCAGGAUUUGAGGAUUUGUUACCGUUGUCAUUAGGUUGGACAUUUGAGGGUCGACUUUCCACAGCUCGCUGUAGGACCAGUUUAGGCUCCAGCACCGGCCACUUUGAGGAUCACGGGUGGAGGUCAGGGUGGAGCGGAGCCCCCAAGGGCUCAGGGUCGUGUUUUUCAGCUUGCAGCAGAGGAGGUCAGAGCAGUGCCGGAUGCAGCUGCGGGUAUGUUUCUUCCUUGAUGUCUUGUUAUCUUAUGAUUAUUGUGGAGUAUUAUUUAUGUGCUAGUAUCUUUGUGUGGUUCUCGGUGUGGUAUCUGUUGUACUUUGAGGAUUAUGAUUAUGGGUUAGUGUUGGGAAUUUCGUUGGUUAUCAUUCAUGGGGUUGUUAGUGGGAAUCUGGCGUUCGUCUGAAUGUCGGGUAGCAUCUGUUUUCUGAGGAGUGGUUAGCUACAGAUUGAGUUUCUUUCGAGCGGGAUGAUCAGUGUGGAAAUGUGAUUUUGUGAAGGUUGCUAGUGCUAGUGGGAAAUCUGUCCGCGUGUAAGUGUGGUGUUGUGCAGGGUUGUUUUGGGAGGUCGGUGAUAGCGACCGGUGGUUGAUAUUUAGUGCCCUAAGUGGGGGAGAAUUGGAAAAUUCUCCGGAUGAUCGAUGAGUAUGUGAGAUUGUCGAGCUCUCUGGGAUUCAGCAGUGCUCUGUCAGCCAAGAGCGUAGGCUGGCAUGAGUAAGUGGCAGGCAUGCGUGGCGGAAUACAAACCAAGGGUACUUAUUUGCGGAGGAUCUGGGAUCAAGCCGGGAUUGAGUUGUGUGAUGGAGAUAGAUUUCGGAACCCCUAGAGGGCUAGAACGGUAUGCAUGGGAAGAUUUACAGGAGAGAUAGCUCGGAAUGAUGAAUGCUAGUUGAGCGGUCUGGAUAGACUGAAGGCCGGUAGGCUUACCAGUCAGGCCGAAGGCUCGGAGAACGGUCCAGCUAAACUGAAGGCACUGAGAGCGGUCCAGAUUGGCUGAAGGUUCUGAGAGUGGUCCAGAUUGGCUGAAGGCCUGGUGAGGCGGUCCAGUCAUGCCAAAGACUCUGCAUGUAUUGUUGGAUCGGUUCGAGGAUAUGGUUUGUGUAUGUUGCGGUGUGGUAGCAUUUGAAGGUCUGGCCCCAGGUAGUGAUCUUGAUUAGUUGAGAUAGUGCAUGGGCUUGAGAGUCCCUGCGAUUAGAGUCAGAGUAUGUGUGUUGGAUGGAUAGCGGUUACGCUAUGAAGGAGUGGUGUAGCGUUGGACGAGAACCGUGGCACUUGUCGGAGUGACAAGGCGGCCAAGUGGAUUCCUUGGUAAAGGAAUGAGAGAGGAGUGUAACUCCGAGAGGGAGUGCAAGUUCACGGAAGUGAAAGCGGCAGAGUAGAGUUAUGAUUAGAGUGAUCCGAGUAUGGUCAUUGAGCAGUGUGUUUGCGGCAGUGGGAUUGAAUCACAUCCGGUUUGGGAUGUCUGCUGAGGUCGCGGAAGGAACUUCGCGGGUGCAGAGCCAAUAGGCUCGGAAGGGAUGCAGGGAGGGAGUCUCGGGCUCUCAGUGUGAUUCUGAUUAGGGAAGUGCGUAUGUAGCAGUGGUUCAUCCUGGGGGAUGUUUGGAGAUGUCAUCAGUGUAUUGGGUUUUCCCAACCUGAGGGUGCUAGAGCUAGUUCAACAUGUGUAUGUGAUUGCAAGAGGAGAACUCAUGGGAGUUGUUCUGAAGAAUGUGUCUUUCUGUCAGCAGAAUGACUAGAGUUGGACUCGAAUCGAGAAUCCGGUGGUGCAUGGUUAUUUCUAACUCAUAUGGGUCGAGUGAUGGUUGUGAUUUGGAGCAGUGUUUCAUCAUGCGUAGUACUCAGUUGUUAAGUGGAGUUAUCAGAGGGUAAAGCCGGUAGCCGGCUUGAGUCGGUGGUUAGGACACCGUAAGAAAGGAGAAAGUGAGCUUCUGGUUUCUAUGGUUGUGUUUUGAGGAACCUGGUUGGGUUAAUGCCAGGUGGUGCGUGGCAGGAGUAUUUCUAGAGUUGAGUCGUUGCAAGCUUCGAGGACGAAGCCUAAUUUAAGUGGGGGAGAAUUGUAACAUCCCGAAAUAUCAAGAGUAGAGUUGAAGGGCUAAAAGAGUAUAUUGGAAAUAGAGGAACUCGACGAGUCCAUGCGUGGACUCGGCGAGUAGGGUCGCGAAUUGGUCGCGUGUUAAGUGGCCGACUCGGCGAGUAGGCGCUGAGUGGAGAAAACCCUAAUUCUCGGGGUUGAGCCCUAUAUAAAGAACAUAACAUUCAUUCCCCCAGCCUCUUUACUCAUCCUCAAGUCCAGAAACCCUAACCUUCGUGUGUGAGUGGAUCAAGUUGCAUUUGGAAGCUUGGAGAAGCAAUUGUUGAGGAAAUAUUCAAGGGUAGGAGGAUUGGAGCAAGGGGCUUUGCUUGGAUUCGAGUUUCAUUGCUGUUGGGGCAUUCUUUUGAGUUAUUAUCUCGUUCUUGGGCUAUUACUCAUAUAGAUUCAUCAUCUUGGGGUUUAUGGGAGUUCAUUUUGGUAUGUUUUGGAGUUUGGAGGUUAGAUCUGAGGUUGCUACCUCAGAUCUGGAGUGGUGAUGGUCCAAAUAUGCAUAAAGUCGCUAUGUUUGAGUGUUUAGUGAAGCCAUCAUGUCCCAAACCCUAGCCCUAGAUUGUAAAAGGCCUAGAUCUCUUUGGAUUCAUGUAAAGUUUGCCACUUUACGUGAUGGAUGGUUUGUAGGAGACUAGAUCUAUGUUUUGGAUCAAUUUCAUGGCCUGGAAUGCUUCUGUAUGGAUUCAGACCGGUGGUACUCGGCGAGUCACAUGGGGUAGACUCGGCGAGUAGCUUGAAGGUGAGCUGAAACUCGACGAGGUGGAAGAACAACUCGGCGAGUAGGUUGAAGAUAGCCUUAGACUCGACGAGUCUAUUCUUGGACUCGGCGAGUCUUGUCGAAGAGUCCCAAUCUUUUCUGGUUGAGCCGUGAAUCGGUGAGUCAAGGGGAUGACUCGAUGAGUUGUAUGUGAGUGGACUCAGAGUUGUUGAACUCGGCGAGUCUCGGGGUGAGUCGGCGAGUUGAGUCGCGGAUUGGAGAAUUUCUGAGUAUGGGGACUCGGUGAAUCAUUGGGUUGACUCGGCGAGUAGAGUCAGUCAGGGGUUGACUUUUACCAAGGGUUGACCAGUGGUUUCCAGGGGCAGUUUGGUAAUUGUUGGAUAUUGUUUUGAGUAUAGUGCCUUGGUGGUUGUCCAGUGGUGGAGAUCGUAUCAGUGAUCAGAGUAGCUUGGGUUAUCUGUUCAUUCAGCAGUUUCCAGGUGAGUUAUCCUCACUAUAUCAACAGGGUCUAAGGCACCAAGGCCGGCCCUUAUCGGAUUGAGAUCCGGGUAUUUGUUGUUAUGUUAUAGCUUUGAUAUGUUUGCAUCCUGGUAGCUAGGAUGGUAUAUGUUAGAGACUUGGUUGAGAUAGGUAUCCUGAGAUGUAGGGUGAUGCUAUGCUAGUGACCGGUUAGGUCGGUAUCCUGGUUAGGAUGAUGAUAUGUUAUGUGAUCUGUUUGAUCGGCUU